AAACCAUGGUGUGGGCAUUGAGCUUGGUAGCCCUUGAAUCUCUCCUAGGCUUCACUGAAGCCUUCCAAGUUCUUCUGUUGAAAGCUGGAAAUCUCGUUUCUCAGCUU
rfam:Brassica napus, WGS project CCCW01000000 data, contig: 5404